AGUGAACGCUGGCGGUAGGCCUAACACAUGCAAGUCGAACGGCAGCACAGUAAGAGCUUGCUCUUACGGGUGGCGAGUUGCGGACGGGUGAGGAAUACAUCGGAAUCUACUUUUUCGUGGGGGAUAACGUAGGGAAACUUACGCUAAUACCGCAUACGACCUACGGGUGAAAGCAGGGGAUCUUCGGACCUUGCGCGAUUGAAUGAGCCGAUGUCGGAUUAGCUAGUUGGCGGGGUAAAGGCCCACCAAGGCGACGAUCCGUAGCUGGUCUGAGAGGAUGAUCAGCCACACUGGAACUGAGACACGGUCCAGACUCAUAAGGGAGGCAGCAGUGGGGAAUAUUGGACAAUGGGCGCAAGCCUGAUCCAGCCAGACCGCGUGGGUGAAGAAGGCCUUCGGGUUGUAAAGCCCUUUUGUUGGGAAAGAAAAGCAGCAGGUUAAUACCCCGCUGUUCUGACGGUACCCAAAGAAUAAGCACCGGCUAACUUCGUG
rnacentral:rRNA from 1 species